CCUUUGGAGAGGGAUAACCACUGGAAACGGUGAUUAAUACCUCGUAUGCUGAGGAGUGAAAGGUCGAAAGACCGCCAGGGGAUGGGCUUGCGUCUGAUUAGCUAGUUGGUGGGGUAAAUGCCUACCAAGGCGAUGAUCAGUAGCUGGUCUGAGAGGACAAUCAGCCACACUGGGACUGAGACACGGCCCAGACUCCUACGGGAGGCAGCAGUGAGGAAUUUUCCGCAAUGGGCUAACGCCUGACGGAGCAAUGCCGCGUGGAGGAGGAAGGCCUGUGGGUCGUAAACUCCUUUUCUCAGAGAAGAAGAUCUGACGGUAUCUGAGGAAUAAGCAUCGGCUAACUCUGUGCCAGCAGCCGCGGUAAUACAGGGGAUGCAAGCGUUAUCCGGAAUUAUUGGGCGUAAAGCGUCCUGAGGUGGCUUACCCAGUCGACUGUGAAAGCUCAAGGCUCAACCUUGAAACGGCAGUCGAAACUUGUAAGCUUGAGUACGGUAGAGGCAGAGGGAAUUCCCGGAGGAGAGGUGAAAUUCGUAGAUAUCGGGAGGAAGGCCAAAGGCGAAAGCACUCUGCUGGGCCGAUUACUGACACUGACAGACGAAAGCUAGGGGAGC
rnacentral:rRNA from 1 species